rnacentral:rRNA from 1 species
CCAUGGCGCUGCCUACAAUGCAGUCGAGCGGCAGCGACUUAACUGAACCUUCGGGGAACGUUAAGGGCGGCGAGCGGCGGACGGGUGAGUAAUGCCUGGGAAUAUGCCCUGAUGUGGGGGAUAACUAUUGGAAACGAUAGCUAAUACCGCAUAAUCUCUUCGGAGCAAAGAGGGGGACCUUCGGGCCUCUCGCGUCCUGAUUAGCCCAGGUGGGAUUAGCUUGUUGGUGAGGUAAUGGCUCACCAAGGCAACGAUCCCUAGCUGGUCUGAUAGGAUGAUCAGCCACACUGGAACUGAGACACGGUCCAGACUCCUACGGGAGGCAGCAGUGGGGAAUAUUGCACAAUGGGGGAAACCCUGAUGCAGCCAUGCCGCGUGUGUGAAGAAGGCCUUCGGGUUGUAAAGCACUUUCAGAAUGGAGGAAGGUAGUGUAGUUAACACCUGCAUUAUUUGACGUUACCUACGGAACAAACACCGGCUAACUCCGUGCCAGCAGCCGCGGUAAUACGGAGGGUGCGAGCGUUAAUCGGAAUUACUGGGCGUAAAGCGCAUGCAGGCGGGCUGUUAAGUCAGAUGUGAAAGCCCGGGGCUUAACCUCGGAAUUGCCUUUGAAACUGGCUCGCUAGAGUCUUGUAUAGGGGGGUAGAAUUUCAGGUGUACCGGUGAAAUGCGUAGAGAUCUGAAAGACUACCAGUGGCGAAUGCGGUCCCCUGGACUAAGACUGACGCUCAUAUGCGAGAGCGUGCAGAGCAAACACGAUUAUAUACCCUGGUAGUCCACGCCGUACACGAUGUCUACUUGAACGCUGUGCCCUUGAGCCGUGCCUUUCAGAGCUAACGCGUUACUUAGACAGCCUGGGGAGUACGGUCGCAAUGAUUAAAACUCAAUGAAUUGACGGGUGUCCCGCUCUAACUGGUGGAGCAUGUGUGUCUUAAUUCUAUGCAACCGCGUAGAACCCUUAACAUACUUCUUGACCUCCAGAAUAACUUGAACAGAUGCGAGUGUGCCAUCCGGAACUUCUGUCACAGGUGCUGCAUGACUGUCGUCAGCUCGAGCUACUGCAAAUGUUCGGCUCAAGCUCCCAGCAGCUUUCGCACUCGUUAUCUUGCUUCGCCAGCACUGCAUGUGGUGACUCACAGGGUUAGCACCUGCACUGUGCAAUAUAUUCCGCCACGCAUAGCGUGCGCGUCACCGGACGGUCAAGUC